CUGGAACAAACGCCCUCACGGGUGCUACCCAGAAACCCUUUGUGAAUUAUUCUCUAUAACUGUUGCCUCGGCAUAGACUGGUCUUGUAACGAGACCCCUACUACUUUUUCUUUGCAAAAAGGACUAGGAGCAGGUCGGCCGGUGGCCUUUAUAAACUCUUGUUUUUACAAUGUAUCUUCUGAGUAAACAACUAUAAAUGAAUCA
rnacentral:misc_RNA from 1 species